GGGGAAUUUUCCGCAAUGGGCGAAAGCCUGACGGAGCAAUACCGCGUGAGGGACGAAGGCCUGUGGGUUGUAAACCUCUUUUGUUAGGGAAGAUAAUGACGGUACCUAACGAAUAAGCAUCGGCUAACUCCGUGCCAGCAGCCGCGGUAAGACGGAGGAUGCAAGCGUUAUCCGGAAUUAUUGGGCGUAAAGCGUACGUAGGCUGUUUCAUAAGUCUGUUGUCAAAGCCCGAGGCUCAACCUUGGAUCGGCAAUGGAAACUGUGAGACUAGAGAGAGAUAGGGGCAGGAGGAAUUCCAGGUGUAGCGGUGAAAUGCGUAGAUAUCUGGAAGAACACCAGUGGCGAAAGCGUCCUGCUGGAUCUCAACUGACGCUGAAGUACGAAAGCUAGGGGAGCGAAUGGGAUUAGAUACCCCAGUAGUCCUAGCCGUAAAACGAUGGGUACUAGGUGUUGGUCGUAUCGACCCGAUCAGUGCCGUAGCUAACGCGUUAAGUACCCCGCCUGGGG
rnacentral:rRNA from 1 species